rnacentral:rRNA from 1 species
UACGAGGGGGGCAAGCGUUGUUCGGAAUUAUUGGGCGUAAAGCGCACGCAGGCGGCCCGGCGCGUGGGGUGUGAAAGCUGGCGGCUUAACUGCCAGAGGCCAUCCCAUACGGCGCAACUCGAGCCAUGCAGAGGUCCACGGAAUUGCCGGUGUAGUGGUGAAAUGCGUAGAGAUCGGCAGGAACACCCAGGGGGAAACCAGUGGACUGGGCAUGCGCUGACGCUCAGGUGCGAAAGCGUGGGGAGCGAACCGG